rnacentral:rRNA from 1 species
UUGGAGGGCAAGUCUGGUGCCAGCAGCCGCGGUAAUUCCAGCUCCAAUAGCGUAUAUUAAAGUUGUUGCAGUUAAAAAGCUCGUAGUUGAAUUUCGGGAUUAGUACGUUGGUCGUGCCUUCGGUACGUACUGGUGUUACUGAUUCCUACCUUCUGACGAACCAUCAUGUCAUUAAUUUGGUGUGGUGGGGAAUCAGGACUGUUACUUUGAAAAAAUUAGAGUGUUUAAAGCAGGCUCGCGCUUGAAUACAUUAGCAUGGAAUAAUGAAAUAGGACGUUGACCCUAUUUUGUUGGUUUCUAGGAUUGACGUAAUGAUUAAUAGGGAUAGUUGGGGGCAUUAGUAUUCAAUUGUCAGAGGUGAAAUUCUUGGAUUUAUUGAAGACUAACUACUGCGAAGGCAUUUGCCAAGGAUGUUUUCAUUAAUCAAGAACGAAAGUUAGGGGAUCGAAGACGAUCAGAUACCGUCGUAGUCUUAACCAUAAACUAUGCCGACUAGGGAUCGGAUGAUGUUAUUUUUAAUGACUCAUUCGGCGCCUUACGGGAAAC